UGAUUUUGUUAAUGUUUAUACCUUUUUAAUGCAUAUUGAUCAGUUAAUUUCGCUCUCACCUUUAAAGAAAAUGUCAUUUUUGGCAUGUUAUAAUGUGUAAACACUUUAAUUUCUAACAAUAUAAUAAUAAUACAUCACUAAUCUUCAUCGUCGUAGAAAGUACAUAUGUCAAGAUGGCACGAUUUUUCAAUCAAAGCUUAAUGAACAUCAUCUUAUAAUUAAAAACCCACUUAAUCUGCCAUGUAAAUGGAACAAGGACAUUUUAUUGUAACGUAAUUUUUACUAGGAAUUCCAUGACUGCCCUUGAAUUGCUAUUAGAAGACAAUAUUCAAGGGCAGAUGCCUUAUAUAUAUAUAUAUAAUCAAAUCAAGGACAGAAAAUGUGGAUGAAGAGAGAGAGAGAGACCUUGGCAUUGGACCUGGGCGUUGGAUCACUUUCUCUGACCACAGAUGAUUCUGUUGCUAGUCUCUGCUCGACAACUAAACCAAGAGAUUAACAAUGUUAUUAUUUGCAUCUCGAUAAUUGCUAUUAUUAUAACACAUAAUAAUACAUUAAUGUUCCUAAAAACAAAAGUUAUCCACGCUCUAACAAUACAUCCUUCAGACCAUGACCAUUUUAAUGGUAUCAAAAAACACCAUUGGUUAAAAUCAUCGCGUCACGUUGUUCGAUUGUCUCACAUAACAAAUAUAUAUUCACUUACUGUUGCAAAUAAUAAAUUUGCAUCGAUGUUUACAAAUAGGUAAGUUCAGAGAUCAGUUUUAAUUUUUAAAAAUUCCUUUCUCUGCAUGCUCUCGAGAUGUUUUUUUUUCUUGAUAUAAAAUUGUAUUGCAAGGUGAGUAAGGUUUCACCUUACUCACCUGGCUCGUUAUUAUUACAGUAUUAUAAAACUCAUAAAUGUAUUCAGGAUUAAUUUACACAUUUAUCAUUAAAGGUUUCACCUUUUGUGUGCAG
rnacentral:lncRNA from 1 species